rnacentral:rRNA from 1 species
GAUCCUGGCUCAGGACGAACGCUGGCGGCGUGCCUAAUACAUGCAAGUAGAACGCUGAAGAGAGGAGCUUGCUCUUCUUGGAUGAGUUGCGAACGGGUGAGUAACGCGUAGGUAACCUGCCUGGUAGCGGGGGAUAACUAUUGGAAACGAUAGCUAAUACCGCAUGAAAUUGCUUAUCGCAUGAUAAUUAAUUGAAAGAUGCAAUUGCAUCACUACCAGAUGG